GGCCCCGUAGUUCAACCGGAUAGAACUGGAGCCUCCUAAGCUUCAAAUCCAGGUUCGAGUCCUGGCGGGGUCA
rnacentral:tRNA from 1 species